CAAUCUCUCUCUCUCUCUCUCUCUCUCUCUCUCUCUCUCUCUCUCUCUCUCUCUCUCUCUCUCUCUCUCUCUCUCUCUCUCUCUCUCUCUCUCUUUUCAUUUUUGUCGGACACCACCAGAUCUGCCAUGGAAAAUCCAAAAAAAACCAGCUCCAUGUUAACUCCGUCUUCCAUCAGAAUCUACGAGACCGAAGGAAGUCGUGGCUCAACAACCGGAGAAUCAAUCUAAUUUUUGUUGCACACUACCUCCGCUAAAUCCUAUUUAAACCUAAAAGUUUUGGACCUCUAUUGCUACCAGUCUUCACCUAUAGCCACCGACCCCAUCACCACUUUUCCCAUCCCUCUCUCUCAUAGGUCUGCUCUGAUCUGAUCAAAUCGGUCCAUAACCCCACUGAUGUCGUUUGUAGGAGGUUAGAUGACGUGCUGCUCUGUUGUGGGUUUCAGCUGAGGUGAUGCUCGAUGGUGGAAGGAGUGUUUUUAGUGGAAUGAUGGAGGUUUAUGGUGUUGUGUGAGGUUUAACAGAUGGUGAUGAAGGCUGUGGAUGCGAUGAAGGUUUUUGUUUCCAAUGUCGUUGUAAUUCGGUGACAUAAGGAUCUCGUUUUUUGGUGUACCAGCUUAGAUGAUUGAUGGUGGUUUUAAUGGUGGUGAGCUUCAACGAUGAUUACUGGUGGUGCGGCAUGUGGUUUUGGUGAUUUUAAUCGGGGGAGAGAUUUGAUUCUAGCAAAAUAGGAGGAGAGAGGACAGUGUGGAUGGGGAAUUUGAGAUCUAUGGCGGAGGUGGUGGUGGUGAUUUGGGUGAACUCCAACGAGAAUGUCGGCUGCCGAAGGUGGUUCAAAAGAACAGUGAUAUAGGGUGGAUUUGGAGAUGAAGGGACCAUUUUUACAAUUAAUUAAUGUAUUUUAGCAAUUAAAAAAAUGAAAAACAUAAAUUAUAAGGGCGUAAUCGUUUUUUUAAGUGUGUAUGGACCAAAACCAAUAAAAAGAUCCAAUUUUAGACCACUGGUGCACCAUUAAAACUUUUUGGACCGAAACUAUAGAAUUUUGCCAACCAUGAGGACCAUUUUUGCAUUUUUAUCAAAUUUAAAUGAUAUUUUCAAAAUUUAAAGUCAAGUCAAAUUCGAAAGACAAAACUGCAUAAAUGGUCCCUAUGGUUAGCUGAAAAUUGCCACUUUGGUCCAAAAAGGUUUAAACUAGCA
rnacentral:lncRNA from 1 species